UACAGAGGUCCCGAGCGUUGUCCGGAAUCACUGGGCGUAAAGGGCGCGUAGGCGGCUCAUGAAGGCUGUGGUGAAAGUCCGGGGCUCAACCUCGGAUCGGCCGUGGCGACUCGUGGGCUGGAGCACUGUAGAGGCGGGUGGAAUUCCGGGUGUAGCGGUGGAAUGCGUAGAGAUCCGGAAGAACACCAGUGGCGAAGGCGGCCCGCUGGGCAGUGGCUGACGCUGAGGCGCGACAGCGUGGGGAGCAAACAGG
rnacentral:rRNA from 1 species